ACCAUUCUACUUGAUGCCUCUAUGAAUCUGACUACUCUAGGUACCUCAGAUGAGUGGAAUUAUGCAGUAUUUGUCCUUUUGUGUGUACAACUAAUUUGACAGGCAGUAUGAUAAGGAACAAUCUGAAUGACACGUAAACAGGAGGGGGUAAAUUCCAAGCACAGCCUGAAUGAGAAGUACAACUCAUUUCCUGUAACCUAGAUGCCUUUUUAACACAUCUAUGCAGUCUCCAUGUGAAACCAGGUGCUGUUCCCAAAGGAGAAAACACUGCCCUCCAGUGGUCUUCAAUGAAGAAAUGGAAAUAGUUUCAGGUGGAAACCAGGCUUCUUGGAAGACUUCAAACUAUGCCAAAUGGUCUGAUUUCACCAUAGAGAUUCUUUGCUGAAGAAUGCAGCUGUAUUAAAGGAAGAAAGAAAACCAAGCUACAGCUCCUUAUAAUUCAACAAGCAUUUAAAAGAUUUAUAAAGAUGGUGCAAUUAUGUAUUUAAGCUGCUUCAACACAAGUUCUUGCCUUUCACUCCCACCCUGUGGCUUACACUGGUAUUACAUCUAUUCUGACAUUUAAAAAUCAACAUUAAAGAACAUAUUGUAAUAAUGUAUUCUAUGGUUUAAAUAUUUAAAAAAUUUUACAUCAUACCUAGAAAGUGUUGUGUACUUUCUAAAGCUUAUAAACUGAAAAGGAUUUGAAGAAUCCUAAUACAGAAUCAUAAGUUAUAAUUCAUCCAAAAUUGUAUAGUUCUUAAAUUUCAAAUCCAAACCAGUGGAUAUCUGUCUUUAGUGACAUUUAGAUUUUAUUCAAUUAAGGUCAUUGUAGCUAUUAUAAAUGGAAGAUUUUACUUCAUUGUGUCUUAUCACUGAAGUACUUCACUCUUGCUUUUCAAAAGAUUUCUUUCAAUUUCUUCAGAGUCUUAUUUGUUCUCUAAGACAAAGACUUGAUUUCAGUUUGUUUUUCUUAAAAUUAAUAUCUUCUCCAAUUUAUUUCCCAGUUUUUUCUAAAUAAAUACUUUAAAUAUAUAGAGUAUUAUUUUUAUAGUAUCUCAGAAUUAGUAAAAUAAAAUCUUGCCAAUACAAA
rnacentral:lncRNA from 1 species